rnacentral:tRNA from 1 species
GCCGAGAUAGCUCAGUCGGUAGAGCAGAGGACUGAAAAUCCUCGUGUCAC